rnacentral:rRNA from 1 species
UUAAAAGACCUAGCAAUAGGUAUGCUUAGGGAGGAGCUUGCGUCACAUUAGUUAGUUGGUGGGGUAAAGGCCUACCAAGACUAUGAUGUGUAGCCGGGCUGAGAGGUUGAACGGCCACAUUGGGACUGAGACACGGCCCAAACUCCUACGGGAGGCAGCAGUAGGGAAUUUUCGGCAAUGGAGGAAACUCUGACCGAGCAACGCCGCGUGAACGAUGAAGUAUUUCGGUACGUAAAGUUCUUUUAUUAGGGAAGAAUAAAUGAUGGAAAAAUCAUUCUGACGGUACCUAAUGAAUAAGCCCCGGCUAACUAUGUGCCAGCAGCCGCGGUAAUACAUAGGGGGCAAGCGUUAUCCGGAAUUAUUGGGCGUAAAGGGUGCGUAGGCUGUUAAAUAAGUUUAUGGUCUAAGUGCAAUGCUCAACAUUGUGAUGCUAUAAAAACUGUUUAGCUAGAGUAAGAUAGAGGCAAGUGGAAUCCCAUGUGUAGUGGUAAAAUGCGUAAAUAUAUGGAGGAACACCAGUAGCGAAGGCGGCUUGCUGGGUCUUUACUGACGCUGAGGCACGAAAGCGUGGGGAGCAAACAGGAUUAGAUACCCUGGUAGUCCACGCCGUUAAACGAUGAGUACUAAACGUUGGGUAAAACCAGUGUUGAAGUUAACACAUUAAGUACUCCGCCUGAGUAGUACGUACGCAAGUAUGAAACUUAAAGGAAUUGACGGGACUCCGCACAAGCGGUGGAUCAUGUUGUUUAAUUCGAAGGUACCCGAAAAACCUCACCAGGUCUUGACAUGCUUCUGCAAAGCUGUAGAAACACAGUGGAGGUUAUCAGUUGCACAGGUGGUGCAUGGUUGUCGUCAGCUCGUGUCGUGAGAUGUUGGGUUAAGUCCUGCAACGAGCGCAACCCUUAUUGUUAGUUGCCAGCACGUAAUGGUGGGGACUUUAGCAAGACUGCCAGUGAUAAAUUGGAGGAAGGUGGGGACGACGUCAAAUCAUCAUGCCCCUUAUGACCUGGGCUACAAACGUGAUACAAUGGCUGUUACAAAGGGUAGCUGAAACGCAAGUUUUUGGCGAAUCUCAAAAAAACAGUCUCAGUUCGGAUUG